CCAGCUACUUGGGAGGCUGAGGCAUGAGGCAUAGCCAGGAGAAUUGCUUGCCCUCAGGAGUUUGAGGCUGCAUUGAGCUAUGAUGACACCACUUAAUUCCAGUUAACACAACAGAGACCCUGCCUAGGAAAAAAUUUAAAAGAGAAAACUACAAAAGGGGAAAAUGAACACAACUACAAGGGGAAAUCUACCAACAUAAUAGGCAUUUUCAACAUACCUCUCUCAGUAAUUAAUAGAUCUUGCAGAGACGGAAUUAUGAAGAUUAUUAAGGACAUAGAAGAUUUAAGUAGUACAACUAAUCAGUUUGAUCUGAUGGAUACACACACACACACACACACACACACAUACAUAUAUAUAAAACAUGUUGUACCCUUCUGUAGGAAAACAAGCAUUUUUUGCAAACCAAAUCUAACAGUGUAUUCAAAGUAUAACAAAUGACCAAAAUGGAUUGAUCUCAGGAAGACAAGAUUGGUUUUUUAAUGUAAUUAAGAAAUGCAGUUUAUAAUGGGAACAAAAAAAUAUACCCUAAGAAUAAAUUUUAAUAAAAGGAGGAAAUGAUUUUAAAAACUUAAUGGACCUAAAUAAAUGUAGAGGAUGUAAUGGAUAACACUCUAUUACCUAAAUCUCAACUUUUUCUCCAAAUUGCAAUUUCAAUAAAAUUCCCAAUGAUUUUCACUGUGGAACCUGAGAAGUUGAUUCUUGAAUAUAAAUGGAAGAACAAAGGGCCAAGGCUAUCCAAGACCCUUCUGAAUGGGUUGUGAGGGGAACUAGCACUACCAGAUUCUAACACUUACUGCCAAAGAUGGUGAUUAAGCAAUGACUUUGGAGUAGGGAAUAAUUUUAUAAAUAAGAUAGAAAAUGGAGACUAUCAAUUAAAAUGUAAGUAAUUUGGCUACAUUGAUCCCAAGUACUUUUAUUUACCAAGCAUGCCAUAGGGUGAAAAGAGAAGCCACAUCUGGAAUAAGAUACAAAUAUUCGCAAUAUAUACAUAACUGCCAAAGAGCACCUGAAUGCAAAUCAGCAAUGAAAACAAAUCAGGAGAGAUGGACCCCAAACACAAGCAGUCAUUUCACAGAAGAAACAGAAAUGGCCCAUCAGUGUAAAAAGAUGUUCAGUCUCAUUAGUUAUCAGGAAAUGCACAUUAAAACCAUGGAUACCAUUUCCUCGCUAACAAGUUGGCAGAAAUUAUGGGAAGUCUGAGAAUAACAAUCUGAGAGAUUAUGACAACAAACCUUCACCUGCUGUUGUUGGCAUGUGAAUCUGUACUACUUUGGAAAACAGUAUUAUCUAAUGAAAUUGAAGACAGGCAUCUCUCUUAUAGCCCACUAUUUACACUUAGAAAAACUUAUGUGCAUGUGUACCAGGAAACAUGUACAGGAAUGUUUAUAACAGCAUUAUGUGUAAUAAUUGUAAGGAAAGGGGGGAUCCAAAUGCCCAUCUACUGAAUAGUGAAUAAAUAAAGUGUAUUUAUGCAGUGGAAUUCUUUAGAGUGGUCAAGGCAUCAUAACACUGUGGGCUUCAAAAUGGAUGCAUCUCAGAACUGUCAUAUCAAGUGAAAGAAGCAAGUCAGAAGAAUAGAGCCAGCCUGGGUACCUUUAUAUAAAGUUCAAAACCAGGAAAAACUAAGUAUAUUGUUUAGAGACUCAUACACAAGUAGUAAAGCUGUAAAGGAAAGACAGUUAUCAAUGUUCAGGAACAUAGUUUCUUCAAGGGAGGGUAGUGGAGGGGCAUGAGAAUAGAGGGGAGAACAGGGCUUGUAAACACUUGCUAAUACAAACCUUUGGACCAUUCUAAACAUGCCAGUUCUCUGAGUUAAUGUAUGUUCUGUGCAAAGCCAAUUCAGAUAACCAACAGUAUUUGUUUAUAUAAUCUAAAAACUUAUGGAAGUAUGAACAGAUGAAAAUAGGAAACACUCCAUUGAAAGUGAAAGAAAUGGAAGGAACUUGCUGUACCAAAAAAUACAUCACUUUUUAAGUGCAAUUAAAUUAAAGCAGUUAUGCUUUAAACAGACAGUCAAUGGAAAGGUUUAGAAAAUAGAAAAGAACUCGCAUUUAGAAUUUAGAGUACACUAAAGGCAGUUUUUGAAAUUGUGCUGUUCAUGGUGAAUUAUUUAAUAAAAGAUGCUGGUGUAAGUAGAGAACAUGAAACUGAUUCCUGUCAUAUCAUUCACCAAGAGAAAUUCCAGGUGGACUAAAAGAAUGUCACACAAACUAGAAAAUAUUUUUUUCUUGGGGUUGGAAAAGUUCGUUCUAAGGACACAAGCAAUGAAGCAGAAAACCCUAUGUAAACUCACCUGCCUUUAAUGCUGUAGUGUGUACCACUGUGUGUGUGUAUGUGUGUAUACAUAGACACAUAUAUUUUAAAAUGUUUAAAUUUGAACAUAAUGUUACUAAUAAUAUAAAACAAAAAUAGAAAAUCAAAAAGAUGAGGUAAAAGUUUAAAAAUAUUGUUCGUGUAUUUGUGGUUAAAAAACCUUUGCUCGCUCUUAAAAAUUUUUCUUUUAGAGAGUCAUGAUUAAAAAUUCUUGUCAUUUUUGAAACUCCUAGUUUUAAUACUUUAUAAAAACAACUUAUUGUUCUUGUCUUAAGGUAAGUUUAUUUUAAUGCUUGGUUUUAAUGACUAUUGUAGCUGAAAAAGUCACUUCAUUAAGAUCUGUGGAUCCAAAUAUGGCUGUGCUUACUGAAAACAUUUUUGAGUUUCAUCCACCAAUUUUGCAAAAGUGUUUGUUGAAAUUUUUAUAAUAAAUUUUCAUACUUUCCAGUGUCAGUAACUUGUUUUUGCUGAAUAGUGUUGCAUUUUUAUUUUGCUAACAGAUGGGUUCAAAACCUGCUGCAACUUAUUUUUGAAUUUCAUUUCCCAAGUUUGUACACUUUGAAGAGCUGCAAUGAGCUGAGAUCUUGCCACAGUGCUCCAGCCUGGUGACAGAGUGAGACUCCAACUCAAAAACAAACAGUUUGGGUACUUAUCACCUCACAGAAGUCCCAAAGUUGGGCAGUUCCAGGGCUGAUAAAUACAAUAGCUAAUUGAUGUCAGGACCUGGGUUUCUUCCUACUUUCUGCCCUGCCAGCCUCAGUAUGUUCACUUUUUCCUCAGUGUCGCUUCCCUCAAGGUCUUUACUUGACUGCUGCAGUUGUCAGAAUGACAACAACCACUUGAAGGAGAGGGCCUCUUCCCCAGCAUGUUUUUUUUAAGAGCAGUGACACUUCCUGAAGCACACCAGCCUUUUUCCCUUCAGUUUUCAUUGAGGAGGAGAGUUGGGAUAACUAGGAAAGAGAGUGGGACUGCCAGGGUAGACUUAGACUAAACAGAUCGCCCCUCCUGGGCGCACAUUGGCGUAAGGAGGUGCAGCUGUCUGAAUAAAGCCUGGUCUCAGGACGGUGAAAUGGAAGGAUGGCUGCUGAUGACUCGUAGUUGCCUGAGGCUGCUACAGGGGUCUAUGACAGCUGUUCAUCGGAAGCCUCUGGGAGAUGGGAAAACCAAACUUUGACUCACAUCAACUUUGUUUUUACACACCAGUCUUUCCAUCUGCUCUUCAGGAUGAACCAGUGUGCUUUGAUUUGAUGGUCAUGUUAGACCAUUUCUUCUAGAAUCUAUAAACAGCACAGAAUAUGGUCACCCUCCUGACUAGAAUAGCCAGGGAGCUAUGAUUAAAGAAGACAAAGAGCUUGUACUAACAUAGGCUAAAGAAAAAGUCCCUGGCUGCAAAGGAAAAUUUUGUCUUGGGUAUGUCCAGUUCCACCCAUAACAAAGCUAAGCAGGUUGGUGGUAUGUAAUAAGGUGUUGGGAAGCAAAAAUAGGGCCAUGCCAGUUGAGACAGUGUUUGGUGAACAAUCUUGUUCCUAAAAGAAGACAGGUCAGAGCGCACUGGAGAAAGGAAAUAGAUGUCAUCUGAGCACAGGUGACAGUGACAACUGCUCUUCAUGGGAUACCUGCCUGCGUGGCAGGUGCUUCAUGUACCUCUUAGGAACAAUCCAGUGAGGCAGUGAUAGCACCACUCUACAGAUACGUGGUGAGCGGUUCUGACGCAACCCCAGUGACUGCCACCCCCUCAUUCAAACCCUUAUGUAGUCCCCUCACCUUGAGUAUGGGUGGACCCAGCAACUUGCUUCUAAAAAAAAAAGGAUGUGGCCAAAGUGAUGGGCUGUCACUUCUAUGAGUAGGUUACAGAAGACUCACAUCAUUUUGUUGGUGUUCUCUCCUGGGCUCUCACUUGAUAUGACAGAGAGGGCCACCUGGCAAGGAACUGAGGGUGGCAUUCAGCCAACAGCUACCAAGGAACUGAGGCCUUCAAUCUAACAGCCCAAGAGUAUCUAAAUCCUGCUGGCUCUGGGUGUCUCGAGUGUGGCUGAAUCAGGCUGAAGCAUGGGCCAGUUUGUUUUGUAGAUGAGACUGGAGGUCAGAGUGGCUCAGUGACAGUAAUUCUGUCUGAUCCAGAUUCCAGGAUGAGCUUCUAUAAUUCAGUCACCUCCCACCAGUUCCCUCCCACAACACAGGGGAAUUCAAGAUUAGAUUUGGGUGGGGACACAGCCAGACCAUGUCAAGUGACUAAUCAUCAUUUGCUGUUCAGAGAGAAGGAGGUUCAGGCAAAGGUCAAAUAGACUCAGGGCAGCUGAACACUACUGCAAGGAGAGAUCAUCCUGGAAUCUGGAUCAGACAGCAUUUUGACUCCACCAUUAUUAAGUCACUGAGGUACACUGACCGUCGGUCUUCUCAUCUAUAAAACAAACUGGCCCAUGGUAGUGAACACUGUUGCUUGAGCCUGUGUGGCCACGUUCUUUUCAUUACAGCCUGAUUGAACUUGGAAUGGAUGUUGGUCCCAUUGAAUGUUGAGAUGAUUAUGACCCUGGCUGACACCUUGAUUGCAGCCUUGCAACAAACCUUGAAACAGAACAUAGCUAAGCUGUGCCCAGAUUCCUGACCCAGGGAAACUCUGAAAUAACUGUGUGGUGUUUUAAGCUACUAAAUUUUGGGAGUUGUUACACAGCAAUACAACUAUUGCAAGAUGAGGUUUCCCAGAUGUCAGAUUUUAAUAACCUGCCCCAAAUCACACAAUGGAAGAUUCAAACCCCCAUCUACAAGGUGAUUUGUUUUACUGCCCAGUCCUCCCUCUUGGCAGCCUCCAGCGCAGGUGAACACUGGGCUGCGGGCCACUGUUAGACGCAGUGCUGUUAUUAAGACCCCGCUAAUCACACCUCCCCCAGCAGUGGUGGUGAAGCCAUCCAUGACCAUACUCACCCCAGAGGGGAGAGAGCCUUUUCAGCUGGGCUCCAUGAAUAGAGCUCUGUAGAAAAGGGUGUUUAAAUAAUUUUUGUCACUUUUCCCAAAGUGACAAAAGUUCAUACACACACACACGCACUUAUAGAUGCACAUGAGCAAAGUUACAUAUAUAAUGCAUGCCUUAGGGUAUCAGGGCUGUCCAGCUGGGCAGGCCGCCUCAGGCAGGGCCCAGGAGAGCCCUCAUGGGCAGGAGACACAAAGGACCUGGAGAGUCAGAGGUGAAGGGAACGAGCAAGGGGCAGAACUGGGAUACUGAUCAGGACUUUGGAGAGGCAGCACGGUGCAAUUGAAAGAGUGGACACCUCAGACCUGAAUCUUUGGGGCCUGCUGGCUCCAGGCCCCGUUGAGUCGUGCCUCCCUGGGCAGGUGACUCAGCUCUCCGAGCUUCAAUUUACUCUGCUGUAAAACUAUAGUACUCGUGCUUUCAGUUUUUCCCUAGCUUGAUGUUUCUAAGCCUUCAGAUUGCGGAAUAACAGCAACUACCACACUGUUACUGCUCCCACUGACUAGUUCCUGAGUGCUUACUGUGCGCCUGGCACUGUACAAAGCACUCUAUGCCUAUGGUCUCAACUCACGACAGCCUCAUUUUCCAUUGAGAAAGCUGGAACUCGCAAACAUGAACAAUCACUGGUCCUGAACAAUUGCUCACUGUCAGUGGUUGGUGUAAGGGCUUCAAGUUGUCACUACAACACACAGCCUGGCACAGAGCAGGUGCCAGUGAGUGCCGAAUUCCUCCUUAUGGCAGCAGAUCAGUGUGCUGCAACAUGGUCCAACUGCCUGGAUGGCAGAAGAGUCCAAGAGGCAUAACUUGGACGCUUUGUGCCCAAACAGUGUCAUCCUCAGGAGAGCCUGUGGACUGUCUGAGGGUCUCUUCUGAGGGUGUGUGUGGGCUGUUAGCAGCAUUCUCUGUUGGGCACGGCUCCCUAAACUCUGGGUGGCCUCUGCAGACAGAGCCCAGUCUAUUGCCCCAGCAUGUGGGAAGUACAAGGCCAGAAUUUUGGAACACAUUGUGGGGAGAGGUACUCAACAGGGCUGUGAAGAGCAAGAUCUCAGCAGGACCAUUGACUCCUUAAGGUCAAAUAACGAUCCAGAAAACACAGUUGAGUUGUGUAUUAGUCCAUUUUCAUACUGCUGCCCGAGACUGGGGAAUUUACAAAAGAAAGAGGUUUAAUUGGACUUAAAGUUCCACGUGGCUGGGGAAGCCUCACAAUCAUGGUAGAAGGUAAGGAGGAAGAAGUCAACAUCUUAAAUGGAUGGCAACAGGCGAAGAUAAAGUUUGUGCAGGGAAACCCAUUUUUAAAACCAUCAGAUCUCUCAUUAUCGCAAGAACAUUUCAGGAAAGACCUGCCCUUUCUUGGGGGAACUGCUUCUCUACGUUCAACAUAGUCCUGUGGGUAUGUGGUGGGGGGAGGGUGUUGGAGACUGCUGGUGAAGGAGUCCUGCCUUCCUCAGCCAGCAGAUGGGAAUGUAACCUGAGCCAAUCAGGCCCCUGUCCUGGAGCUGGAUUAUGUAUGGGACAGUUUAAAAUCUGCAAAAGGCAGGAACCAGCCCUUCCCAAGAGCAGAGACACCUGGAGCCAGUGCUGGGGCUGUCUGAUCCUUGGCCCCCAAAAGGCUGCAGCACCUCAGUGGCUUUCCUUUUCACUGUAAGGGGUGAGGGUUAGUGUUUGCUACUUGCUGCCCACGUGCCCUAAGACCCCCAGAGGAUCAUCUGGGUGUUCUUGCUUUCCAUGUGUCCCUUCCCCGUAAGUGAGGUCUUUGUUACCUGCUUUGAGCAUUUCUAAAACAAAGUGGUAAAACAAAUGAAUACAUUUAA